CCUUGGAGAUGCCGGGCUUCGAAAGUCGAAACCACAGCCGCCGUCGGCCCCGUCUUCUCACGCUCGCGAUGUUGCCACGCGCCGCUCGCCAACUGGAGUCGAGCGAGCGUGUUGCGCGACUGAAGCCGGCGUGGCCAGCCGCAGCCCAGCGGUUAGCGUCGCCGGAGCCCUCCGGCUUGGGGCGUCCGGACGAAGGUGCAGCAGCCGCUACACCCGGACGGCAGCGUUUCAAUCGGCGGGGCCCUUACUCUGCAUUGCACGCGCCGAUAUUUUCUUGGAUGUUUCAACUAUCAAGCACUGGAGAAGCUUAUGGGCCUUAGUGAUCUGGCUGCAAGGCACUAAUGCACAAUGGAUUUUUAGGCUCACUCAGCCUGUCAGCAUGGGCUGAAACUGGAGCCCGUCUUUGGAGCCUUUCAGUGUGUCUACAUUGAGCCUUGAGCUGUGCAUUGUCAUCUUCGACCGGGCCUCAAAUGUUGCUAAUGGACGGAUCAAAACUCAUAUACUACACUCUAAAUUUCUGAGUAACUCCCUUAGUCCAUACAUGCUGCAAACUGUUAUUGAGCUCAAUGAAUUUGGUGCCUCUGCCGACUUUCAUCACUGUUAAAGAAAGUCCUGACGUACUUCUCA